rnacentral:rRNA from 1 species
GAUAAACGCUAGCGGCAGGCUUAACACAUGCAAGUCGAGGGGCAGCAUAGAUUGUAGCAAUACAAUUGGUGGCGACCGGCGCACGGGUGCGUAACGCGUAUGCAACCUACCCGUCACAGGGGGAUAAUCCGGAGAAAUCUGGUCUAAUACCCCAUAACAUAUGGAUCGGCAUCGGUUCAUGUUGAAAUUUUCGGAGGUGACGGAUGGGCAUGCGUAGCAUUAGCUUGUUGGUGAGGUAACGGCUCACCAAGGCGACGAUGCUUAGGGGGACUGAGAGGUUUUCCCCCCAAGCUGGUACUGAGGCACGGACCAGACUCCUACGGGAAGCAGCAGUGAGGAAUAUUGGUCAAUGGGCGCAAGCCUGAACCAGCCAUGCCGCGUGCAGGAUGACGGCUCUAUGAGUUGUAAACUGCUUUUGUACGAGGGUAAAGUGGGUUACGUGUAACCUUUUGAAAGUAUCGUACGAAUAAGGAUCGGCUAACUCCGUGCCAGCCGCCGCCGUAA